UAGGGAAUCUUCCGCAAUGGACGCAAGUCUGACGGAGCAACGCCGCGUGAGUGAAGAAGGAUUUCGGUUCGUAAAACUCUGUUGUUAGAGAAGAACAGCGCAUAGAGUAACUGUUAUGCGUGUGACGGUAUCUAACCAGAAAGCCACGGCUAACUACGUGCCAGCAGCCGCGGUAAUACGUAGGUGGCAAGCGUUGUCCGGAUUUAUUGGGCGUAAAGCGAGCGCAGGCGGUUAGAAAAGUCUGAAGUGAAAGGCAGUGGCUCAACCAUUGUAGGCUUUGGAAACUGUUUAACUUGAGCGCAGAAGGGGAGAGUGGAAUUCCAUGUGUAGCGGUGAAAUGCGUAGAUAUAUGGAGGAACACCGGUGGCGAAGGCGACUUACUGGGCUCAUUCUGACGCUGAGGAACGAAAGCGUGGGUAGCAAACAGG
rnacentral:rRNA from 1 species